GGACUUUAGGUGGGACCCUACCCCCUAAAUCCCUCCCCAAAACCCGUGGGAUGUCUCUCUCUCAUCUCCCUUCACUCUCUCUCUCUUUCUUCAUUUCAGUAUCACUCUCUCUCUCUUACUCUCGAACUCUCUCAAGCUCUCGGACAAACACCAAGAACAAUCACAAUCCUACACCAACGUCCGAUCUAAGAUCACCACGACACUCCUUAGGACCUCACGAGCACGGGAAUACCAGUUUUAGGUUAAACAAAGAUCACCACGAGUCUUAGGAAGUUCCAAGGAGGCUCGGAGUGCCUCGUUUGAACAAAAUGGACGUCGGGAUCGUCGGGUUCGAGUUUGGCCGAAAUUGAAGAAUUUUGAAAGGUGGAACAUUUAACGAGGACGAGCACAUCCAGGGGCGUCAAGGGGGUUACGACCCGGCGACAUACCAGUGAGUGGGCAUUGC